GAAAUGCGAUAAUUAAUGUGAAUUGCAGAAUUCAGUGAAUCAUCGAGUCUUUGAACGCACAUUGCGCCCCCUGGUAUUCCGGGGGGCAUGCCUGUCCGAGCGUCAUUGCUGCCCUCAAGCACGGCUUGUGUGUUGGGCUUCCGUCCCUGGCAACGGGGACGGGCCCAAAAGGCAGUGGCGGCACCAUGUCUGGUCCUCGAGCGUAUGGGGCUUUGUCACCCGCUCCCGUAGGUCCAGCUGGCAGCUAGCCUCGCAACCAAUCUUUUUAACCAGGUUGACCUCGGAUCAGGUAGGGAUACGCGCUGAACUUAAGC
rnacentral:misc_RNA from 1 species